GAUGAACGCUGGCGGCGUGCCUAAUACAUGCAAGUCGAGCGAACGGACGAGAAGCUUGCUUCUCUGAUGUUAGCGGCGGACGGGUGAGUAACACGUGGAUAACCUACCUAUAAGACUGGGAUAACUUCGGGAAACCGGAGCUAAUACCGGAUAAUAUUUUGAACCGCAUGGUUCAAAAGUGAAAGACGGUCUUGCUGUCACUUAUAGAUGGAUCCGCGCUGCAUUAGCUAGUUGGUAAGGUAACGGCUUACCAAGGCAACGAUGCAUAGCCGACCUGAGAGGGUGAUCGGCCACACUGGAACUGAGACACGGUCCAGACUCCUACGGGAGGCAGCAGUAGGGAAUCUUCCGCAAUGGGCGAAAGCCUGACGGACCAACGCCGCGUGAGUGAUGAAGGUCUUCGGAUCGUAAAACUCUGUUAUUAGGGAAGAACAUAUGUGUAAGUAACUGUGCACAUCUUGACGGUACCUAAUCAGAAAGCCACGGCUAACUCCGUG
rnacentral:rRNA from 1 species